rnacentral:rRNA from 1 species
GAUGAACGCUAGCGGCAGGCCUAACACAUGCAAGUCGAGGGGCAGCGGGAAAAAGCUUGCUUUUUUGCCGGCGACCGGCGCACGGGUGCGUAACGCGUAUACAAUUUGCCUUAUACAGGGAGAUAGCCCGGAGAAAUUCGGAUUAAUAUCCCAUAAUAUUGUGUAAUCGCCUGAUUAUAUAAUUAAAGCUACGGCGGUAUAAGAUGAGUAUGCGUCUGAUUAGCUAGUUGGUGAGGUAACGGCUCACCAAGGCGACGAUCAGUAGGGGGCCUGAGAGGGUUAUCCCCCACACUGGUACUGAGACACGGACCAGACUCCUACGGGAGGCAGCAGUGAGGAAUAUUGGUCAAUGGAGGCAACUCUGAACCAGCCAUG